UUUUAUAAACGUCCAAAUGUUGAUUGGACAAGUCCGUUAACUGUAAAACUUAAAGGAGAUGCUGCAUUAGGGAAUGGAGUAAAACGGCAUUUUUUCACAUUGAUAAUGGAAAAGCUCCACCAUGGAUUUGAACUUGACAUUGAUAACUGUGGCAAAACGCUGCUCUUCAAUGGCGAAGAUGAUCAUAAGGUUCCUUCAACAUCCAAAGCACUCUUGGAUGG